CCCCAGAGGGAACAGGUUUUUUGAUUUGUACUAAAAUCAUGGUCAUGUUGUCGCAUCCUUCACCUCCAGCUGUCGGUGCCAAACACCUAUCAAGAACUCUCUCACAUACUGCAGAAAGUUUGCUUUCCGACUUGAGCUGCUCAUGUAUAAAGUCCACUAACUGCUGGCUCGACAUGCAGUCCCAUACACCAUCACAAGCUAGGACGAUAAAAUCAUCAUCAUCGCACAGAUCAACAGUAUUUAUAUCUGGAUCAGCCGUAACAAUUUGCUUCUCAGCUGGCAGAAACUUAUUCUGCUUGAAUUCCAUGUCGCCUAUAGCUCUUGCAAGAUUUAAGCUGCCAUUAACACGCCCUGCGUGGAUAAAACCACCUGCUUUCAAAAUUCUCUCUCGUUCAAUCUCAAGAUCAGGCUUGUGAUCCCUCGAUAGAUUAUAUGCCUGGCUUUUCCGUGAAAUCACACAGCGAGAAUCACCAGCAUUCGCAACAAUGAGUCGGUUCUCUCUAAUGAUCGCAACACAAGACGUACAUCCAGAAGUUGGUCCAGGAAAAUCAGAGUGAGGACCCUCCUCAAACGCCCAGUCAUCAGUAUUUCCGUUUCCAUCACCAUUUCUUGGAGACCAUAUAAGACCCUCUAUCAUACCCGAAAACUUGUUUAAUCUAUCCCCUAGUGCAGCCAGCUCCCUCCAUCCUC
rnacentral:misc_RNA from 1 species